rnacentral:sRNA from 1 species
CAUCACAUAUGUACAUCCUAUCAAGAAGAAGAAACAAGUUUGAAGGGGGUCCAGAGUCGAAAAUCUUCCGAAAAAUUAAUCCAUUAUAGCCGCUUUCUCUGAUAUUUCAGGUGAUUCCUCCAAGACCAUGCAAGCAAGAAAACCACUAGUGCUACCCCCACCGAACUCCAAAAGAUGAUCAACCAAGUAGGCAUGGGAUCAUGAAACAGCCCAUGUCCAAACUUCAUACAUAUAAGAAGCUCUACAAUGCAUAUAGCUAGAGAGAGCCAGCAAAAAGCCCCAACCUUCUUCACCGGUUUGCUGGUUAGGAGUUGUACUCACGGAUGGUUGGAAUAGCAAUCAACCACCAUAGGAUUAAUCUGUACACAACCAAAGGAUUCCUUGGAGGAAUCCAGAGGCAAAAUUUAAGAAAAAAUGUGUUGAGCUCCACUGUCAUGAAAACAACGCACAGGAACAACACUUGAACGAACCGCAACGGCCCCAUGAAAGGGUACCAUUGAUCCUUGUCCCAUUGUGCAGGGGUGAACUGGCUCAGUGAUCUUUUCACCUUGCCCAUGAUGCUUGGCUGUCGGCUCAGUCCAACCCACUCAUAUGUUUUACCGUCAAAGUAACGGACUGUGUGCAUCCCCGCCCAUAUACCAAACCAGUUGCAGAUCAAGAUAUCCAAAAUAAUACUAUCCCACCAGCACUCAUUAAAGUUUGGCAACAUAUGUCUGAAUGUAAGCUGCAAAAGCUCGAAACCAAUCGAGAGGACCCAAAGAAGAAGCUGGUUUCGUAUCAUUACGGCUUUACCCCACCAACCCAAAAUAUGGGCAACCACAAAUUCGUCAAAUAAUGUCUCCUAUAUGUAUAUCAAACCGUCAAAUAUGAUGGGAUAUUACCAACUCCAAGAUCAGGGUAAAGGUGUUUCAUGAACUGGCGAGCAUCAUCGCGGUUCUGGAAAACGAGAAAGAAAUAAGAAUUAUUACAGUAAACGACAGCCAGUCCGUGCACCAGGCGCCAGACAGCAGGAUGGGGCCUAAUAAGUAUCCUGUGCUUGGAGAGUGCAGUAAGCAAGGAAGACUGCAAUCAUAGCCCAGACACCCCUGGAGAGUGUCAGUGAGAAAAUAUGAGUCAGUGUCACUCUCUCCCAAUCAUUGUGCAGUGCACUUACAUUAGAAGGCAAGCACCGACGAGGAGCACCGAGAUGGUGUGCGGCUUGUAGAGCCACGCCGUCCAUGGGUCGUACUCCUCGGCGCCGCCAUCCGCCGCCGCUACGAGCCUCCUCUCCUCUCCGUCGCGAUGCCUC